GUAACGGGGUGUUAGGGCACGACACCGGAGAGGGAGCCUGAGAAACGGCUACCACAUCCAAGGAUGGCAGCAGGCGCGCAAAUUACCCAAUCCCGACACGGGGAGGUAGUGACAAUAAAUAACAAUACGGGGUCCUUUAGGGUUUCGUAAUUGGAAUGAGUACAAUUUAAAUCUCUUAACGAGGAACAAUUGGAGGGCAAGUCUGGUGCCAGCAGCCGCGGUAAUUCCAGCUCCAAUAGCGUAUAUUAAAGUUGUUGCAGUUAAAAAGCUCGUAGUUGAAUUUCGGGAUUAGUACGUUGGUCGUGCCUUAGGUACGUACUGGUGUUACUGGUUCCUACCUUCUGACGAACCAUCAUGUCAUUAAUUUGGUGUGGCGGGGAAUCAGGACUGUUACUUUGAAAAAAUUAGAGUGUUUAAAGCAGGCUCGCGCUUGAAUACAUUAGCAUGGAAUAAUGAAAUAGGACGUUGACCCUAUUUUGUUGGUUUCUAGGAUUGACGUAAUGAUUAAUAGGGAUAGUUGGGGGCAUUAGUAUUCAAUUGUCAGAGGUGAGAUUCUUGGAUUUAUUGAAGACUAACUACUGCGAAAGCAUUUGCCAAGGAUGUUUUCAUUAAUCAAGAACGAAAGUUAGGGGAUCGAAGACGAUCAGAUACC
rnacentral:rRNA from 1 species